rnacentral:rRNA from 1 species
ACAUACGACCAUACCCACUGGAAAACUCGGGAUCCCGUCCGCUCUCCCAUAGAUACGCCGGUGAGGGUCAGCUUAUGUAUGGGAGUUGGAAGGAUAUGAAACGGGUCUUGUAUUCA